CCCUCGAUGCAACGAGCUUUUUUUACGGCACGCAUGGAAGUGGUCUGGUCGGCCCGGUCUAAACCAUUAUUUUUCACGGUUGACCUCGGAUCAGGUAGGAGUACCCGCUGAACUUAAGCAUAUCAAUAAGCGGAGGAAAAGAAACCAACAGGGAUUACCCUAGUAACGGCGAGUGAAGCGGUAACAGCUCAAAUUUGAAAUCUGGCCUUGACCGGUCCGAGUUGUAAUUUGUAGAGGACGUUUCGGGCAAGGCUCUGGUUUAAAUUUCUUGGAACAGAGUGUCAGAGAGGGUGAGAGUCCCGUCUAGAACCGGGGGCCGCGUCCAUGUGAAACUCCUUCGACGAGUCGAGUUGUUUGGGAAUGCAGCUCAAAAUGGGUGGUAAAUUUCAUCUAAAGCUAAAUAUUGGCCAGAGACCGAUAGCGCACAAGUAGAGUGAUCGAAAGAUGAAAAGUACUUUGAAAAGAGAGUUAAACAGUAUGUGAAAUUGUUGAAAGGGAAGCGCUUGCAACCAGACUUGCGUGUGACGGUUCCCCCGGUCUUCUGACCGGGCUACUCCGUCAUGUCCAGGCCAGCAUCGGUUCGGGUGGUUGGUUAAAGGCCCCGGGAAUGUAUCUACCUCCGGGUCGACUUAUAGCCCGGGGUGUAAUGCGGCCUACCUGGACCGAGGAACGCGCUUUUGCUCGGAUGCUGGCGUAA
rnacentral:rRNA from 1 species